AUGAUGAUUAAUUUGUCAGGUGUCAUGGGGUCAUGGAUGCUGAUUUGGAUUCUGUGUGCCACCGUCACUCUGAUGCCUGUGUGUCUUCAUGGAGCAAUAUCGGUCCGUUUUAAAACCGGACGGCCUCUGUAUGUUGCGCUCGGCCAAACACUUGUUCUGGAAGCCAUAUUAAAGACGGAUCCAGGCGACAAGAUAGACAUGGUGACGUGGGACCGCGAGAGAGGAACAGACAAUGUCCGACUGUCACAAGGAAACAGAAUAUCUUUGGAGAAUGGAGAUGCACUUCUGCGGCUCACUGAUGUUGCAGAAGAGGACUUUGCGAUCUAUAAGGUCACCGUUACGGACAGUAAUGGAUACCAGCAGCACGACUCCAUAGAAGUGCGAAAGAUUGUGGAACCUCUAAAGACGUCAAUUAUGCACGUGCUGGAGUGUGUUGUAGAUAAUCAUGGCAUGACGCAGUGGGACAGUCCUAUGUUUUCUUGGCUGGUUGAUGGUGUUACAGUAACCAAUCAAACCGCUCUGUUAGCAGAUGGAAGUAGACUAGUCAUCUCUGAAGUGAAGGGCGUUAACUACACCUGCAUCAUCAAGAGCAGCCUGGGGGUAGUGACUUCACAUUAUCAAAUACCAGAAGAUUCGUCAGAGUCUCCGUGCUUUUGUGCAGGAAAGAUUGCAGCUUCAGUCAUAACAGCAAUACUAAUAACACUUGUGGCUGGGUUCAUUGUGAUGAAGAAAUGCAAGAACAGUCCCCUCCUUUAGCCAACACUGUACACUCACAACUUUUUCACAAAUUUAGUUUUUUUAUUUAUUUUACUUAAGUACUGUUUGACAUCACAUUAUAAGCUUUUCCCUCUUUUUUAUGACGUUUAUUAGAAUAGCAGAAAUAUUGUUUCCGGCACAAAUACUGUACGUGUCUCACGAACAGAUUUCAGCUUCCAGGUUUAAAUGUUUUCUCUCUUUUUUUUUAGCUGUUUCUCUGCAGUUUGUUCUUGUUCUAUGUCAAAAGAAUGUUCUUGUGUUCAUCGUAAAAAAUUUGGUUAAACGUUAAAAAUGUGAGUGGUUAAAAUGUUUACUAUGGUUUGUAAAGAUACAAGCUGUUUUGUUUACAAAAAAAUUAUGUAAGUGCAAUUAAGUAGCUUUCUACCUCAAUUGUUCUAAAAAUAAAUCUACUUUUGGAGCACACAAGCAGUGAUGUUUAAGUUUGUUCAGAGAAUAAAAGAGUCCAGACGGAUCUGGAGGGUGGAGUGUGACGUGAGGGUUUUACUGGAUGGAAGAUCUGUUUGUCUGGACAGAGAAUAGUGGCCUUUACGCCACAGGAAAGGGAAAAGGGAAACGCCUAAAGACCUUUAACUCUGUGAACGGAGCACACGAGUUCAGACUACAGCAGUCCUGCAGAGACACAAACAUGUUUGCUGUGGGAGCGUCGCUCUAGUGUUUUAUGGGACAGGAAUUUCUGGAUACAACAGUCUCUUUCAGGAAGUUACGAGAGGUGAGUUUCGAAAAGCGUGUAGUAAUCUCUCUCAAAAAGUGAAAGUAUCUGAACUUUGGUCAUGUUUUUUUUUUCUUUCUAGGUGACAUGGACCUAGGACUACAGCGAUUCAUCAGGACUGUCCUGCUUCUGCACGUCUGCU
ensembl:lncRNA